UUGAGAGAUAGGAUUCUGUGUAACUCAGACGUGGAGAAAGUAACUUGACAGAUUGUAUCCCAGGAAGUUUUUUUAAACAUUCAGAAAUCUGAAUUUUCAUGAUGAAACUACGUCUCCGUCUUUGGCUUUUUGUCCUGUGGCUGAAUGUGAAGACGUCUUUACAACAAAAUGAUCCCACAUGUGAAUUUGGCAUUAUACACAGUAAUCUCUUUGUGGCUGGUUUACCACCUCA